rnacentral:rRNA from 1 species
AAGUCGUAACAAGGUUUCCGUAGGUGAACCUGCGGAAGGAUCAUUGUCGAAACCUGCAUAGCAGAAUGACCCGCGAACAUGUUACUUAAAAUGCACAGGGUGCGGAGCCCCACCUUGGAGGCCCCGUUUCCUGCUGUUUGGGGACGAGUCUCGUGAUGCAACGUUGUGCUACUUGGGCCAAUGAUGUGCAUGAUGGCUUGCCCCUGACCCAAUAAUAAACAUCGGCGCGGAUUGCGCCAAGGAAUAUGAGCAAAAGGCGUGCUUCCCCGCUUCCGGUUUCUCGGCAUGCGGCGGUAGCAACGUUUCACAUUAUAAACAAACGACUCUCGGCAACGGAUAUCUCGGCUCUCGCAUCGAUGAAGAACGUAGCGAAAUGCGAUACUUGGUGUGAAUUGCAGAAUCCCGUGAACCAUCGAGUCUUUGAACGCAAGUUGCGCCCGAAGCCACUAGGCCGAGGGCACGUCUGCCUGGGCGUCACGCAUAGCGUCGCCCCCACACCCUACGCGUAGCAUGGGGUGAUCGGGGCGGAGAUUGACUUCCCAUUGGAUUCCUUCAGUGGUUGGUCUAAAACUAGAGCUCGAGGUGAGCUGUGUCGCGACGAUUGGUGGACGACAAGGCCUAUGCCAAGGUUGCAUCGCGUCGUGCAUGUGCUGCCCUCAACGCUCAUAUGACCCUAUUGAGCCGCAUAAAAGUAAAGGCUCCAACUUUGCGACCCCAGGUCAGGCGGGGCUACCCGCU